rnacentral:sRNA from 1 species
CAAUAGAUUACUUUUUUGGAAAUUAAUAAUGUAUUUCGUUUUUCUAAUUAAAUUAA